AAUCACUUUUAAAUUCUCUCACUCCUUUAUUUUCUACAAAAUUCUGUGGGUUUCAGGUUUGCAGUACUUUUUUUUAUCUCUUUUAAUUUCCAUUUCCUUUUCUUCUGAACCCUAACUCUUUUCCCCUUGUUUGCUGCAGUGCUACAAAACUGGUCUUCCUGGUAUAAUCUUGAUGCUUUAUCUUACAUCGUACCACCAAAUUAAUGUCUUCUGCUCCCUACAGUCAGGAGAAUAAAGACAUUCAACAACUUCUAUGAUCUCUUUUCUAACCUACCUAGUCAAUCCUUUUUUUCCCUUUUUUUUUUUCAAAAUUGGUCACUCCAUUCCAGCUCAAGUAAAACUCAAGUAAAGACUUAUUGUUCCUUCUAGAAACCCUUGGAUUUUGAGAUGAAAAGAUGCAGCCUUUCUUCAUGUUUAUGGAACCACAAGGGAUCUCAACAAAGAACUAAGAAGGAAAAGAGGCGAAAUUAUUUUGUCAUUUUCUCCACAAUCUUUAGGGAUUGUGUAUUCCACUUGGAGAUUGAAUGGAAGUGUGUAUCUCUUGCUAGAAUACCAUAA
rnacentral:lncRNA from 1 species